UACGGAGGGGACUAGCGUUGUUCGGAAUUACUGGGCGUAAAGCGCACGUAGGCGGAUUUGUAAGUCAGGGGUGAAAUCCCGGGGCUCAACCUCGGAACUGCCUUUGAUACUGCAAAUCUCGAGUCCGGAAGAGGUGAGUGGAAUUCCUAGUGUAGAGGUGAAAUUCGUAGAUAUUCGGAAGAACACCAGUGGCGAAGGCGACUCACUGGCCCGAUACUGACGCUGAGGCGCGAAAGCGUGGGGAGCAAACAGG
rnacentral:rRNA from 1 species